AGGAGAACAGAAUAUAUUUAUUCCAUUUUGGUCAGACAGCUCAGAGGUCAUAGAAAAACUGAAGAGGGUUUGCAUUUUUAAAUUUUUUUUUUGCAAGCAGACAGCACUUUGUCCUUGUGAAAAUAGAAAUGCAUUGGCAGAGUGCCUGAGUCCAGGCUGAAAAAUCUGAUUUCAAGGAGAGAAAGACUAUUUAAGGUCUCACAUUAAUAUAGGCUAUUUAUUUUUGGGGGGGCCAGUACUGUAAUUAAUCUAAUCUGUCUAGAAGAGAGAGAAAAAAAUUAAUGAAACAGUAAUUUUCAAACUAUUUGAAUUUCUUUGAAGUAAUUUUAUAGUAACCUGUUGUGACAGAAAGUGGCAUUAGCUAAGUAGCCUCUUGAAAAUAGUCAUGAAAAUUUUUAAAACAGGAAUAGGUGCAUAAGUUUUAAUUUGUGGUUUUAUUCAACUCAGGGUAAUAAAUUAAAGUAGAUUGUAAUGUAACCAUUAUGUCCCUAGGAACACCCAGUUCAAAAUACUGGCCGUUAUAAAUCAAGUCUUUGAACUAUUUCUAAGUACUGUCAUUUUCAGCCAGUUCCAUUACCUUGCUGAUGGUUUCCUGCGACUUAGUAAAGUGAAUUUUUCCAAAUAUCAGUGGGGGUGAAUAUAUAUAUAUUUAAGCUUACAAGGAUAUUUUUGAAAACCGAUAAUGCAAGUUAAAAAAAAAGAUCUUGUUCAUCAUCAAAAAUUAA